rnacentral:rRNA from 1 species
UACGUAGGGCGCAAGCGUUAUCCGGAAUUAUUGGGCGUAAAGAGCUCGUAGGCGGUUUGUCGCGUCUGCCGUGAAAGUCCGGGGCUCAACUCCGGAUCUGCGGUGGGUACGGGGCAGACUAGAGUGUGGUAGGGGAGACUGGAAUUCCUGGUGUAGCGGUGAAAUGCGCAGAUAUCAGGAGGAACACCGAUGGCGAAGGCAGGUCUCUGGGCCACUACUGACGCUGAGAAGCGAAAGCAUGGGGAGCGAAUGGG